UACGUAGGGUGCGAGCGUUGUCCGGAAUUAUUGGGCGUAAAGAGCUCGUAGGCGGGCUGUCGCGUCUGCUGUGAAAUCCCGGGGCUCAACUCCGGAUCUGCGGUGGGUACGGGCAGACUAGAGUGAUGUAGGGGAGACUGGAAUUCCUGGUGUAGCGGUGAAAUGCGCAGAUAUCAGGAGGAACACCGAUGGCGAAGGCAGGUCUCUGGGCAUUAACUGACGCUGAGGAGCGAAAGCAUGGGGAGCGAACAGG
rnacentral:rRNA from 1 species